rnacentral:rRNA from 1 species
AGUCGAACGAGAGAGAGGGAGCUUGCUUCCUCAAUCGAGUGGCGAACGGGUGAGUAACGCGUGAGGAACCUGCCUCAAAGAGGGGGACAACAGUUGGAAACGACUGCUAAUACCGCAUAAGCCCACGACCCGGCAUCGGGAAGAGGGAAAAGGAGCAAUCCGCUUUGAGAUGGCCUCGCGUCCGAUUAGCUAGUUGGUGAGGUAACGGCCCACCAAGGCGACGAUCGGUAGCCGGACUGAGAGGUUGAACGGCCACAUUGGGACUGAGACACGGCCCAGACUCCUACGGGAGGCAGCAGUGGGGAAUAUUGCACAAUGGGGGAAACCCUGAUGCAGCGACGCCGCGUGGAGGAAGAAGGUCUUCGGAUUGUAAACUCCUGUUGUUGAGGAAGAUAAUGACGGUACUCAACAAGGAAGUGACGGCUAACUACGUGCCAGCAGCCGCGGUAAAACGUAGGUCACAAGCGUUGUCCGGAAUUACUGGGUGUAAAGGGAGCGCAGGCGGGCGAUCAAGUUGGAAGUGAAAUCCAUGGGCUCAACCCAUGAACUGCUUUCAAAACUGGUCGUCUUGAGUAGUGCAGAGGUAGGCGGAAUUCCCGGUGUAGCGGUGGAAUGCGUAGAUAUCGGGAGGAACACCAGUGGCGAAGGCGGCCUACUGGGCACCAACUGACGCUGAGGCUCGAAAGUGUGGGUAGCAAACAGGAUUAGAUACCCUGGUAGUCCACACCGUAAACGAUGAUUACUAGGUGUUGGGAGAUUGACCCUCUCAGUGCCGCAGUUAACACAAUAAGUAAUCCACCUGGGGAGUACGACCGCAAGGUUGAAACUCAA